rnacentral:rRNA from 1 species
AACGAACGUUAGCGGCGGGCCUAACACAUGCAAGUCGAACGAGAACGCUCCUUCGGGAGUUAUUAAAGUGGCGCACGGGUGAGGAACGCGUAGGUAAUCUACCCUCCGGCGGGGGACAACAUUCCGAAAGGAAUGCUAAUACCGCGUAAGACCACGCUCACUACGGUGAAAGCGGUUAAAGGUGCCUCAAAGCACCACCAGAGGAUGAGCCUGCGUCCCAUCAGCUUGUUGGUAAGGUAAUGGCUUACCAAGGCGAAGACGGGUAGCUGGUCUGAGAGGAUGAUCAGCCACACUGGCACUGGAACACGGGCCAGACUCCUACGGGAGGCAGCAGUGAGGAAUAUUGGGCAAUGGGCGAAAGCCUGACCCAGCCACGCCGCGUGUGUGAUGAAGGCCUUCGGGUCGUAAAGCACUGUGGGGAGAGACGAAAAAGCGCAUGAGGAAAUGCUUGCGCCUUGACGGUACCUCCUUAGCAAGCACCGGCUAACUCUGUGCCAGCAGCCGCGGUAAUACAGAGGGUGCGAACGUUGCUCGGAUUUACUGGGCGUAAAGCGCGUGUAGGCGGACUCGCAAGUCGGUUGUGAAAUCCCUGGGCUUAACCUAGGAACUGCAUCCGAAACUGCUUGUCUUGAGUAAUGGAGAGGGUGGCGGAAUUCCCGGUGUAGAGGUGAAAUUCGUAGAUAUCGGGAGGAACAUCAGUGGCGAAGGCGGCCACCUGGACAUUUACUGACGCUGAGACGCGAAAGCGUGGGGAGCAAACAGGAUUAGAUACCCUGGUAGUCCACGCCGUAAACGAUGAGAACUAGGUGCAGCGGAUAUUGACCUCUGCUGUGCCGUAGCUAACGCGUUAAGUUCUCCGCCUGGGGAGUACGGCCGCAAGGCUAAAACUCAAAGGAAUUGACGG